CAGGUUAGGUUAGGUGAGGUUGGGAGUAACGAGAUGGCUUAGACAGGUUAGGUUAGGUGAGGUUGGGAGUAACGAGAUGGCUUAGACAGGUUAGGUUAGGUGAGGUUGGGAGUAACGAGAUGGCUUAGACAGGUUAGGUUAGGUGAGGUUGGGAUUAACGAGAUGGCUUAGACACGUUAGGUUAGGUUAGGUGAGGUUGGGAUUAACGAGAUGGCUUAGACAGGUUAGGUUAGGUGAGGUUGGGAGUAACGAGAUGGCUUAGACAGGUUAGGUUAGGUUAGGUGAGGUUGGGAUUAACGAGAUGGCUUAGACAGGUUAGGUUAGGUGAGGUUGGGAUUAACGAGAUGGCUUAGACACGUUAGGUUAGGUGAGGUUGGGAUUAAUGAGAUGGCUUAGACAGGUUAGGUUAGGCUAGGUUAGGUUAUUGUACUAUGAGGAGGUUGAAGUGUGACAAAUGGUUAGCUGAUGAGUCCAUUUGGCAAGUCCUAUUGGUGAGUCAUAUUGGUGAGUCUUAUCAGUGAUUUUUUUUCUUUCUUUCUUUCCC